rnacentral:rRNA from 1 species
UACGAAGGGUGCAAACGUUGCUCGGAAUUAUUGGGCGUAAAGCGCACGUAGGCGGCUUGGCAAGUCGGAUGUGAAAUCCCUCGGCUCAACCAAGGAAGUGCAUCCGAAACUGCUAAGCUUGAGUACGAAAGAGGAUCGCGGAAUUCCCGGUGUAGAGGUGAAAUGCGUAGAUAUCGUAAGGAAGACCAGUGGCGAAGGCGGGUCUCUGGACAGUUCCUGACGCUGAGGCACGAAGGUCAGGGGAGCAAACGGG